CAAAGAUAUUUUUUCUUGCAAAGAUAUUGAGUGAACCCGAUUACAAACCCAUUUUGCUAGACACUGCAUACAUGUAUAAGCAUUCUAUUCAAAUUAUGAAGGUGCAUAUUAAAAUAAGAUCCAGAAACCUGAGCAGAAAUAGUCUUUUUAAAGAUUAUUACUAAAACACUUUGCCAAGUGUUCAAAAUAUUUCAUUGUUUAGACAUAUAUUGCAUUUAUGAACAGCUGUCAGAAAAAUCAAUCGUUUUCAUAUCUGCGUAGCUGUAAGUGAUCUUUGUGACCAGAUGCAAAGACAAUAGUAAAGACCAAGGUUUGUAAAUCAGAAAAUAAAGCCACUAUUUGAAAUCAUGAAAAAGCAGGCAAAUUUCCAAACCUACCCACAUACACCUAAUAAAAGCCCCUGAAAUAUCCUGCCUUAUACAUGCUGACUGCUACAUGCUGCACAUUCUAAAAACGUUAGAAUAUCAGAUGACAAGUUGCUGCUUGAUUAUAUGGAAGACACAAAUUGAUUUUGGCGAUUUACUCGUGAUUGUAACUAGAUGUAGCGAUCAGAAUUUAAUUCUUUUAUUACUGGAGUCUUUCUGUUUCAGAAUAUAUAAAGGGUGACAAGCAGUAGUUCCACAUCACCAAACUAGCUCCUGUUAGUGGGUGAGACUGUCAUUAAAUGUGGAUUACUUCAAGUUAGUUAGCAGUCCAGAGAGUUACACUGGGCACCAAUCCUGCAGAAUGAACUGGAAGAGAAGGGAGAGAGAGGAGUUCGGUUGCUGGCUGGAAAUCGCUCAGCCCUCUGAAUUGUUCCUCGAGCUAUUGCAGGAGCCAGGGGAGAAGCUGAAACUGGAGAUGGCCUUCAGAUUCUCUUCUAGUAGGAGAGAAACAAUGGGACUACUGUUAUCUGAAGAGAAUGGUAGGAGAAGAGGUCUUUUAACAACUGUAGGAACAAGCCAAUUCCUAGCUUCUGAGGAAUUUGGAAUUCUCAUCAGCUCUUCGUUUACUGUCAAUGGGUAUUCUUCCUCCAGAAAAAAAGACUGCUAAAAGAGCAUGAAAAACAAAGCAAGCUAGAAGGAAUGAAAUAAAGAAUUACGGAGGAGAGAGGUAAGAAAUACUGAGAUGCUUGCAGUAAUAAAAACGUUCAGUAUUCAGUGUCAUUUUUACUCACCUCAAUAAUAUGGUUUUACUCUCAGUUUCAGUAUCUCAAUGAGGCAGAUACCUAUCAAUUUGUGCUGAGAUUUUAGGAGUUACUUCUAUGUUGACUUUGUCUAUAAGAGACAGUUUGUAAGCGUAAGAAGGCAUGUCCUGAUUUGCAAGAUCCAUGAUACGUCUUGGCUUGUACUUUCUCUGACAAUGCAAAUAGGUCCCAUCUGGAGAGUGUGUUAUAAUUUUUACCUAUGACAAAACCAGCAAACUCCUUCCAGUGGUGGUAGAAAACACUCUCAACAAAUGUAAACUUUUGAUUUGAUUUUUAAUUUUUAACAAAAUAAACUUAUCCUGACAAUCCAGCUUUUUACUACUCUGACAGUACUUACACAAGAUCUAGUCUGCAGAGCGUUGCUGCCUCAGGCUAAUUUAUUUUGUCUUCUUAGUUAGACCUAGAAACAUUGCUAUUGCUAUAAUGACUAAAACUAGUUAUUUCUAUACCUAGUCAAGGGGUUAGGGCUGGAUUUGGGCCUACUAGGGCCCAAGAGGCUCUCAAGGAUAAACUGUUUCAGUGAGUUUCUAUUCACUGUAAAUUUUGUUGUGAACUGUGCCAUGAUUUUGUAACCACCAAAGCACAGUAUACCUUUCAACUUUCCAUUCUUAGCAUCUACCUCUGCAUCUAUAACGCAUAAGAACACACUCUACUUGGGGUCACUGGACAGAGAAUCAUUGCUUCCACUGUAGCACAGACAGGAAGAGUUAUACUUCAGGGACUUUCAAAACAUCUUUAGCUAAAGAUGCAGUAUCUAAAGAUGUUUCAUUGUUUUAAAAAUCUACUAUUCAAGGUAAACCAGACAGAAAACCAGUAAGAAAUACUUACCUUUACAGGAUCAGUGAUCAAUAUUUACUAUGUGAAUAGAAAGUUUUUAAGCUGUGUAUGGCAUAUAUAGACUUAAUCUGAAAACGGGAUACACACAAGAAAGCCUACUCCCAGAUGUGCAGUUUUGCUGACAGUAAGACUCAUUUCAGUGAUUCUUAACACACAAAACACAAAGAAAUUCUGAGCCAGAUUAGUGAUACUUAACUGCCUUGAAGAAAAAUGGUUAUUAAAAAUUCAAGAGUUUUUUAAAGUUAAGAGUGCGAUAAAACCAUGCUACCAGAUUCCUUGUAUGUGUAGGGAAAUUAAGUCAAAAAGACAAAAAAGAAUACCAGAAAGAAUUGUAUUCAUUGUAUCAAAUUAACGACAAAAUUAGAAGUCAAUUACUGAAAUCUAUUCCAAAUGUAUAAUGCAUAUUAAAUACAGUAAGGAAGAUAAAAAGGCUUGUCAAAUAGAAAUGAAGUGUUACAACACAUCAUUACAUGUUUUAGUGAAGUUAAAAGAUUUAUCAGAUAGAAUUUCUGCUGUAGAAAAGGAAAUAGAGUUAUCAUUACAGAAAAAAAAAAAAGAAAAAAAGUGGGAAAAAAGGAAAGAAGAAGGAAAGAAUGAAAAAAAAGAUGUCCUAAGUGGUGAAGAUGCUGUAAUGUAACAAGAAGCAAUGGCAUAUCUAAAGCAGUGAGAGCACCCUUACUGGAUUUAUCUGUAGCAGCCAAUGGCAUGUGAGAGGCAAUGAAUUAAAUAACUGGCUCUGAAAAUUAUUAGUUAUAAGAAAGUAAGGAUUUUCAUGUUAAUACUUCACUGGAUGCCUAUUAGCAGCAAUAAACUGGGUUGUUAAGUGCUUUUAAGGUAUAGUAGCUGCACAAAACAUUUUUAUACCUCUUCUUUGACUGGUAGCUGAUGGAGGUGGAAGAAUGCCGGUUGAAACUAAAAUGAGACAAAAGUUGUAUUUGAAAAGAAUGAAUCAAGAAAAUAGGGAUAUCUUGUCUUACAGUGAAUUUCCUUAUGAAUAGGAGAUAUUUUUAAUAAGAGCUAAAUUAAACAACAUGUAUAUAUUUAUAAUAAUGUAAGAUCAGUAUUACAUUACAUUUUGCUUAUCUUAUUAAAGCUGGGAAUCAUAGUGAAACCUGAAUAUGGGUUACAAGUAAAUGAGCUAGUAUAUUGCUCCGUAAUUCACUCUCAUCCACUUUUAUUCAUUCUUUAGUUGUGGGAUUACAAUUCAACCACUGGACUGUUUACUUUGACAUUCACCAUCAAUUUGUAUUACCAUAAAAAUUAGGUAUGAGUUUCCUUUUGUCAGUAACAUAAGCUUAAUUGACAUAUAAGGAAAACUUGAAUGAACCAAAGUUCAAAGAUCAGCUAAGUUUCCUGGCUAAUUAUGGAUCAAAUAAGGAUAACCCCACAGAAAGGACAAGCAGGAAAUAGUUGAAACAGCAACAUCAAUCUAUCAUGGGCAACUUUUCCAUUGCAGUACUGUUCUACUAUUAUAUGCUAAGUAGAGCCUUGGGUGAACAGGUAGAUUUUUUUUUUCUUGGGGAAAUAACAUCAUUUCAGAAAAAGAUGUCUUAUUCGUGUAAAUAUAAGAAGUACUUAGUCCUUGCAGAGCAUAUGAUCUGAGAAAGAAGAGGGUUCAGAAUGAACACAUCUUCUGCCUAAAUGCAGAGCAGUACAGAGCUGUGUGGCAUCAAUCACACCACAUAGGAACACAGCCCACAUUUGCCAGAAAUAACAGUAGGACCUUGUCACACAUCAGUUAUUUUCUUAGCUUCUGGAGGUUUUUUUUCCUUUACCACAUACACUGCUUGGAUUCAGACCCUUGGAUCACAGCAGCUACAUAUUUCUUGUAGAACCACAAUGCUGACUCUCCUUUGCUUCUCCUGUUGCUAUAUUCCCAGAGUGCUGUCUCACUGGUUACCCUGCUCUUACCCUCCAAAUGGAAUAGCCAAUUGCAUAAAGAACUUUGUCACUUAUUUAAAAAACUCCUUCUAUGCGUUUUUCUUUUUUUGUAAAUAAGAUUGUAAGUGCAAAUUAAGAUUACUUCUGCGGGUUUAAAAGUGCAGAGAAAUGUGAUCAGUUACAGAUUAAUGACUUCUAACAUCCUUCUUCAGGAACAUUAUGAAAAUUUUAGCCAUGUUAGUUGCUAUGCAUCCACACAGCCCCAUUCAGAAAAGUAAAAUCAAUAUAAAACUGAUCUAUCAAGGUUUAAAAUCAGAUUUAAAUAGCUAAGGACAUUGAUCAAUAAAUUGUCCUGUACUUUCUUGGUAGAUCUCUUAAUGUAGCUGGAAGGGGAAAAAAAGAAACCAACAAACUACUGAAUCAGUGGUGGGACAACCUCAGGCUUGUUCUACCUGAACAUGUUUUACAGGAUGGAGAUACUGUUGUAACUAAGAUCAUCCAUAUUGUAUUUUGAACUAAAGUUGUAUCAACUACUGCAGUGCUCCAGUAGUACAUGUCAAGGUGAUACUUGACCUUUCAAUCUAUAUUUUGGCAUGCUAAUACAUUUCUUGAUUUCUAAAUGAAAACCAUCAGAUGUUCAACAAUUUGAAUUAUAAAAGAAUUUAGAAACCAAUUCUAGGCCUUUAUUUUUGAAUGCUAGCUAUAGUAUAUGACAGUUUUAAAAAGAAACAAACAAAAAACAAGUGCACUGAGAUAAAGAAGCUAUUUCAGCUGCAACACUCCAACAAAAUGUGAAUUUGCAUCUUCUACUUGAUUGCCAGGGUGCUGAUUUUUAACACAUCCUGAAGGUUUCUGACUUGCCUUUAUGUCCCAGGGCUUGUUGCAUUUCUGUACUACUGAGAGGGAGACUACCUAAGAGAAUAACAUAUGCCUGCUGAUAACAACUUGAACAGAACUUGAGAGUGAAACCAGCGAAAAAGAAAGGAACAGACCAGACCGGUUUUACUCCUCAGGCUGAAUGCAGCAGAAGACAAUGAACAAUGGCUUCUUCAUCUGGAUCUUGCACUGCAGGGAAAAAGCAUUUCCAUUAGAACAGAAAUGAAUAAAGAAAGAAUCAGCUUCAUGGUAAAAUUACAAGUUCUUCAGAAAAGUAUUGACAGCCUGUUUAAAGUCAUCUGGGCAAGGAUGCGAAAAGACUUAGACUGCAGGUUGGCAGAACGGCGACUCCAGUCUUCAGUUUCAUCUUCAGGCUUGUUCUGAGUUUUGAGAACCGCCUGAUACACCGGAGAUGCACUAUCUACGUGAG